GAUGAACGCUGGCGGCGUGCCUAAUACAUGCAAGUCGAGCGAACGGACGAGAAUCUUGCUUCUCUUAUGUUAGCGGCGGACGGGUGAUUAACACGUGGAUACCCUACCUUUAAGACUGGGAUAACUUCGGGAAACCUGAUCUAAUACCGGUUGUUAUUUUGAACCGCAUGGUUCUUCAGAGAAAGACGUUCUUGCUGUCACUUAUACAUGUAUCCGCGCUGCAUUAGCUAGUUGGUAAGGUAACGGCUUACCAAGGCGACGAUGCAUAGCUGACCUGAGAGGGUGAUCGGCCACACUGGAACUGAGACACGGUCCAGACUCCUACGGGAGGCAGCAGUAGGGAAUAUUCCGCAAAGGGCGAAAGCCUGACGGAGCAACGCCGCGUGAGUGAAGAAGGUCUUCGGAUCGUAAAACUCUGUUAGUAGGGAAGAACAUAUGUGAAAGAAAAUGUGCACGUCUUGACGGUACCUAAUCAGAAAGCAACGGCUAACUACGUG
rnacentral:rRNA from 1 species